GACGAAGGGGGCUAGCGUUGUCGCGAAUUACUGGGCGUAAAGCGCGUGUAGGCGGUUGUCCAAGUUGGAUGUGAAAGCCUUGAGCUCAACUCAAGAAAUGCAUUCAGGACUGGAUGACUAGAGGACCGGAGAGGAUAGUGGAAUUCCCAGUGUAGUGGUGAAAUACGUAGAGAUUGGGAAGAACACCAGUGGCGAAGGCGGCUAUCUGGACGGUUUCUGACGCUAAGACGCGAAAGCGUGGGGAGCAAACAGG
rnacentral:rRNA from 1 species